GCAUUGGUAGCUCAGUGGUUAAAUUCUUGCCUUUCAUGCGGGAGACCCAGGUUCAAUUCCUGGCCAGUGCA